rnacentral:rRNA from 1 species
AACGUAGGUGGCGAGCGUUAUCCGGAUUCAUUGGGCGUAAAGAGCUUGUAGGUGGCGGCGUAAGUUGGACGUGAAAUCGCCCGGCUCAACCGGGCGGGGUCGUUCAAUACUGCGCGGCUGGAGGAGGUCAGAGGGAAGUGGAAUUCCUGGUGUAGCAGUGAAAUGCGUAGAUAUCAGGAGGAACACCCGUGGCGAAGGCGGCUUCCUGGGGGCCAUCCUGACACUGAGAAGCGAAAGCUAGGGGGAGCGAACAGG